UACGGAAGGCAGCAGUGGGGAAUAUUGCACAAUGGGCGAAAGCCUGAUGCAGCUAUGCCGCGUGUAUGAAGAAGGCCUUAGGGUUGUAAAGUACUUUCAUCGGGGAGGAAAAAACAAAACUAAUAAUUUUAUUUCUUGACGUUACCCGAAAAAGAAGCACCGGCUAACUCCGUGCCAGCAGCCGCGGUAAUACGGAGGGUGCUAGCGUUAAUCAGAAUUACUGGGCGUAAAGAGCACGUAGGUGGUUUUUUUAAGUCAGAUGUGAAAUCCCUGGGCUUAACCUGGAACUGCAUUUUGAAACUGAAAUACUAGAGUAUCGUAGAGGGAGGUAGAAUUCUAGGUGUAGCGGUGAAAUGCGUAGAUAUCUGGAGGAAUACCUGUGGCGAAAGCGGCCUCCUAAACGAAUACUGACACUGAGGUGCGAAAGCGUGGGGAGCAAACGAGGGAU
rnacentral:rRNA from 1 species